CUGCUGCUACUACUACUACUACUGCUACUACUACUACUACUAUUGCUGCUGCUACUACUGUUCACAACUCAACAUGUCUGACUGGUUGGUUUCUGUGGUCUUCAGGAGGUGAGGAAGCUUUCCAAGGCAGUCGACCGGCUCCGCAGCGUCUACCGCCUCACUGCACGCAAACACAAGAUGGAUGCCGAGAGGACAGUGGUCAAGCAGAAGAUGGGCGCAUCCAUAAAUGGAAGCUUCAUCGUCCCGGCAACCCCCCGCAAAUCCAAGCCAGUGUCUAAAUUCUCCCCUGACUGGGUUCUCAGAAAGGACAAGCUGCAAGACAUCGUUGACCCUCUCCGAGCCGUACAGAUGGUGGCUGAAGUCUUCUCUAUUGUGCUUUAAAAAAACAUAUACUUAAUGAAAUAUUUUCUUUAGCUUUUUCUUUUGUAUUUUACAACUUUUUUUAAAAAUAUAAUACUCUACGAUGAUGUACUUGUUUCUUUUUAGCUUGUUAAUUUUUUGAUGCUAUCUAGAAAAAGCUUCAUGAGUUGUCUUUGAUAGCGUCGUUUGAUUCAGGAAGACAUAAUGCAAGGUGUAUGCACUGAUGCUUUGUGGCCACACGGUGGCAACGUUUAGCCUGUAGUUAAUGGAUUGAGUAAGAGUGAAUUAAAGAACAAGUAGAUCUAUUACUAUUAGCCCAUGUUAAUGAUGUAAAACCCCUCUGGGAGAAUGACACUAGAAGUCUCCUGACACUGGGUGAGUAACGUGGCGUUUUAGCUGUCUAGAGAGGUGUGAUUAGGCCAAACAGAACAUCUACUGUAGAGAUUCUUGGAUCCAUUCUGUAAAUAUUUAUACUUUGACUGCCUACUGCUGUAAAUAAAACAUCUGAUUUCACCUGAAA